UACGUAGGGGGCGAGCGUUAUCCGGAUUUAUUGGGCGUAAAGCGUUCGUAGGCGGUUUGUUAAGUCUGUGAUUUAAGGCUGGGGCUCAACCCCAGUUUGUUACAGAAACUGGCAGACUUGAGUGCGGUAGAGGCAAACGGAAUUUCUAGUGUAGCGGUUAAAUGCGUAGAUAUUAGAAGGAACACCAGUGGCGAAGGCGGUUUGCUGGGCCGUUACUGACGCUGAGGAACGAAAGCGUGGGGAGCAAAUA
rnacentral:rRNA from 1 species